GAAAUGCGAUAAGUAGUGUGAAUUGCAGAAUUCAGUGAAUCAUCGAAUCUUUAAACGCACAUUGCGCCCUUUGGUAUUCCAAAGGGCAUGCCUGUUCGAGCGUCAUUUGUACCCUCAAGCUUUGCUUGGUGUUGGGCGUCUUGUCUCUAGCUUUGCUGGAGACUCGCCUUAAAGUAAUUGGCAGCCGGCCUACUGGUUUCGGAGCGCAGCACAAGUCGCACUCUCUAUCAGCAAAGGUCUAGCAUCCAUUAAGCCUUUUUUCAACUUUUGACCUCGGAUCAGGUAGGGAUACCCGCUGAACUUAAGC
rnacentral:misc_RNA from 1 species